CCAGUCACAGCCAUCAAACAAUGGUCAUUCGCAGGCAUUGGCUUAUGGAGCUGAAACUCAUGAUGGGAACUCAAAAACUGCUGUGCAGGAAGCUGUUCCUUCGCAAAGCUGAAUUUCUAGCUGUUCAAAGGUGACUUUUCCAUCUCUUCUAUUAUCCAUUCCAGUUCCAUCAUGUUGCUUUUCGUGAGAGUCCCUUUUGCUCUUGUAUGCUACAUUUUCAUGAGGGGUUUACAUUUCUAGGCUAUAAUGUUGGAAAAUUUUGUCCUGUAUCUUUAUUUUUCACAUUUAAACGCAUUUGAACUAGAAAACAAGUACAAUUUGUUGUGUCAUUUUUAAAGAUGGAACGCCAGUUAGUUUUAACAGAUUUGGCCCAUGAUUAUGGUUGGAUUGGAAGUUUU
rnacentral:misc_RNA from 1 species